rnacentral:rRNA from 1 species
UACGGAGGAUGCAAGCGUUAUCCGGAUUCACUGGGUUUAAAGGGUGCGUAGGCGGGUAUAUAAGUCAGUGGUGAAAGCUCCGGGCUUAACUUGGAAACUGCCAUUGAUACUGUAUAUCUUGAAUGUCGUUGAGGUUAGCGGAAUGUUGCAUGUAGCGGUGAAAUGCUUAGAUAUGUUACAGAACACCAAUUGUGAAGACAGCUAACUAAGCGAUGAUUGACGCUGAGGCACGAAAGCGUGGGGAGCAAACAGG